rnacentral:rRNA from 1 species
CCAAGGCUAAAUACUCCUGACUGACCGAUAGUGAACCAGUACCGUGAGGGAAAGGCGAAAAGAACCCCGGCGAGGGGAGUGAAAAAGAACCUGAAACCGUGUACGUACAAGCAGUGGGAGCACCUUCGUGGUGUGACUGCGUACCUUUUGUAUAAUGGGUCAGCGACUUAUAUUCUGUAGCAAGGUUAACCGUAUAGGGGAGCCGAAGGGAAACCGAGUCUUAACUGGGCGUUAAGUUGCAGGGUAUAGACCCGAAACCCGGUGAUCUAGCCAUGGGCAGGUUGAAGGUUGGGUAACACUAACUGGAGGACCGAACCGACUAAUGUUGAAAAAUUAGCGGAUGACCUGUGGCUGGGGGUGAAAGGCCAAUCAAACCGGGAGAUAGCUGGUUCUCCCCGAAAGCUAUUUAGGUAGCGCCUCGUGAACUCAUCUUCGGGGGUAGAGCACUGUUUCGGCUAGGGGGCCAUCCCGGCUUACCAACCCGAUGCAAACUACGAAUACCGAAGAAUGUUAUCACGGGAGACACACGGCGGGUGCUAACGUCCGUCGUGAAGAGGGAAACAACCCAGACCGCCAGCUAAGGUCCCAAAGUCAUGGUUAAGUGGGAAACGAUGUGGGAAGGCCCAGACAGCCAGGAUGUUGGCUUAGAAGCAGCCAUCAUUUAAAGAAAGCGUAAUAGCUCACUGGUCGAGUCGGCCUGCGCGGAAGAUGUAACGGGGCUAAACCAUG